rnacentral:miRNA from 1 species
GCAGCGCUGCGAGCGGCUUUCCGUAAUACCCGGAUGGAAGGGUAAUGGCCGCCAUGAGGGACUCGCAGGCAAAGGGGACCAUGACA